CAGCCGCCGCGGGAAUACGGAGGGUGCAAGCGUUAUCCGGAUUUAUUGGGUUUAAAGGGUCCGUAGGCGGAUCUGUAAGUCAGUGGUGAAAUCUCACAGCUUAACUGUGAAACUGCCAUUGAUACUGCAGGUCUUGAGUAAAUUUGAAGUGGCUGGAAUAAGUAGUGUAGCGGUGAAAUGCAUAGAUAUUACUUAGAACACCAAUUGCGAAGGCAGGUCACUAAGAUUUAACUGACGCUGAUGGACGAAAGCGUGGGGAGCGAACAGGAUUAGAUACCCCCGUAGUCCCUGUCUCUUAUAC
rnacentral:rRNA from 1 species